GGAGAAGUACUCAAGAGGCUGAAGAGGACGGUUUGCUAAAUCGUUAGAUCGCGAAAGCGGUGCGUGGGUUCGAAUCCCAUCUUCUCCU
rnacentral:tRNA from 1 species